rnacentral:rRNA from 1 species
GGCGGCAGGCCUAACACAUGCAAGUCGAGCGCGAAAACACUUCGGUGUGAGUAGAGCGGCGGACGGGUGAGUAAUGCUUGGGAAUCUGCCCAGUAGUGGGGGAUAACGUGUGGAAACGCACGCUAAUACCGCAUACGUCCUACGGGAGAAAGCAGGGGAUCUUCGGACCUUGCGCUAUUGGAUGAGCCCAAGUCGGAUUAGCUAGUUGGUGGGGUAAUGGCCUACCAAGGCGACGAUCCGUAGCUGGUCUGAGAGGAUGAUCAGCCACACUGGGACUGAGACACGGCCCAGACUCCUACGGGAGGCAGCAGUGGGGAAUAUUGCACAAUGGGCGAAAGCCUGAUGCAGCCAUGCCGCGUGUGUGAAGAAGGCUCUAGGGUUGUAAAGCACUUUCAGUAGGGAGGAAAAGCUUAAGGUUAAUAACCUUGAGCCUUGACGUUACCUACAGAAGAAGCACCGGCAAACUCCGUGCCAGCAGCCGCGGUAAUACGGAGGGUGCGAGCGUUAAUCGGAAUUACUGGGCGUAAAGCGCGCGUAGGUGGUUUGAUAAGCUAGCUGUGAAAGCCCCGGGCUCAACCUGGGAACUGCAGUUAGAACUGUCUGACUAGAGUACAGUAGAGGGUGGCGGAAUUUCCUGUGUAGCGGUGAAAUGCGUAGAUAUAGGAAGGAACAUCAGUGGCGAAGGCGGCCACCUGGACUGAUACUGACACUGA